CGGGAAGUAGCUCAGUUUGGUAGAGCACUUGGUUUGGGACCAAGGGGUCGUAGGUUCGAAUCCUGUCUUCCCGA
rnacentral:tRNA from 1 species